UCCCUUGCUUGGGAGCAGCAUGCAGUGAAGGCACUGAGCCUCCUCCUGUCUGGCAGUAUGGCUGAGCAGGCUGUGUCUGGGUUGGGAAGAUGUACACACGCUGUGGUCAGGGGUAUCCCUGAUUCUUUCAGCCAGCAGGCUCUCAGGUCUCGGGACUGUGGAGAAGUGGAUUUGGCCAGGGCUCACAGGGAGCAUGAACUGUACGUGCGAGUGUUAAAGGACAAGCUGGGGCUGCAGGUGCUGGAGCUGGGAGCGGAUCAUCUCAUGCCAGACUGUUCCUUUGUCGAAGAUGUGUCUGUAAUUCUGGAUGAAACGGCGUUGAUAACCAGACCCGGGGCGCCGAGCAGGAGGAGAGAGGUUGAAGCCGUGAAAAAGGCUCUUCAAGACCUUCAGCUAAAUGUUGUUGAGAUGACUGAUGAAAAUGCAACCCUGGAUGGGGGCGACGUGCUGUUUACAGGAAAGGAGUUCUUUGUGGGUUUGUCGAAAAGGACCAAUCAGAGAGGGGCAGAGAUUCUAGCAGAUACCUUCAAGGAUUACGCUGUGUCCACAGUUCCUGUGUGUGACACACUUCAUUUGAAGAGUUUCUGUAGCAUGGCCGGACCAAACCUCAUUGUGAUUGGCUCCAGUGAAGGGGCUCAGAAAGCCUUGAAGACCAUGCAGCAGAUGAGUGAUCACCGGUAUGAUAAACUGACCGUCCCAGAUGACGCGGCUGCAAACUGCAUUUAUUUAAACAUACCAAGUAAAGGACAUGUCCUUCUUCACCGCGCCCCUGAGGAGUUCCCAGAGAGUGUCAAGGUUUUCGAAAAACUGAAGGACCACAUGUUGAUUCCCGUGGCAAAUAGCGAAUUGGCGAAAGUGGAUGGCGCGCUGACCUGCUGCUCCCUACUCAUUAACAAACCAAGCAAUGAGUGAGGUGCCAAAGUCUGGCUGCCCAGAAAGAAUUCAAUGUUCAUUUAGCUGACAAUCCACCUCGUAUGCACUUAGUUUAACUGAUAUCUUCCUGUUUUGUAAAGGAUUUGUGGAAACUGCCCUAAUUUUCUUAUUCUCAAUGAGCUGUGUUCACAGAUAUUCUUCAAUAAUCCAACAGCACUUUACAUGUCAUUGUUCCGUUAACUCACUUGGCUCAGAUAAUCUAUCCUAUGUCUAAGCUGUACGUUUAUCGCAUAAAAUACAUAAAUGAACAAGUAGCUGAUGGUUGAAUUAAAUGAACAGAAUGAAAGAAA